rnacentral:rRNA from 1 species
CCUACGGGAGGCAGCAGUGGGGAAUAUUGGACAAUGGGCGAAAGCCUGAUCCAGCCAUGCCGCGUGUGUGAAGAAGGCCUUCGGGUUGUAAAGCACUUUUAGUGGGGAAGAAAGCCUUGGGGCUAAUACCCUCGAGGAAGGACAUCACCCACAGAAGAAGCACCGGCUAACUCCGUGCCAGCAGCCGCGGUAAUACGGAGGGUGCGAGCGUUAAUCGGAAUUACUGGGCGUAAAGCGCGCGUAGGCGGUCUGAUAAGCCGGUUGUGAAAGCCCCGGGCUCAACCUGGGAACGGCAUCCGGAACUGUCAGGCUUGAGUGCAGGAGAGGAAGGUAGAAUUCCCGGUGUAGCGGUGAAAUGCGUAGAGAUCGGGAGGAAUACCAGUGGCGAAGGCGGCCUUCUGGACUGACACUGACGCUGAGGUGCGAAAGCGUGGGUAGCAAACAGGAUUAGAUACCCUGGUAGUC